rnacentral:rRNA from 1 species
ACGGGUGAGUAACGCGUGGAUAUCUGCCUUUUGGUUCGGAAUAACCCCGGGAAACUGGGGCUAAUACCGGAUGGUUCCUACGGGAUAAAGAUUUAUCGCCAAAAGAUGAGUCCGCGUACGAUUAGCUAGUUGGUGAGGUAAUGGCUCACCAAGGCGACGAUCGUUAGCUGGUCUGAGAGGACGAUCAGCCACACUGGGACUGAGACACGGCCCAGACUCCUACGGGAGGCAGCAGUGGGGAAUAUUGGACAAUGGGGGCAACCCUGAUCCAGCCAUGCCGCGUGAGUGAUGAAGGCCUUCGGGUUGUAAAGCUCUUUUGGCGGGGACGAUGAUGACGGUACCCGCAGAAUAAGCCCCGGCUAACUUCGUGCCAGCAGCCGCGGUAAGACGAAGGGGGCUAGCGUUGUUCGGAAUUACUGGGCGUAAAGCGAGUGUAGGUGGUUGCCGUAGUCAGGUGUGAAAGCCUUGAGCUCAACUCAAGAAAUGCACUUGAUACUGGGCGACUAGAGGACCGGAGAGGAUAGUGGAAUUCCCAGUGUAGUGGUGAAAUACGUAGA